GGUGGAGGUAAAGGGCCCCUUGGCUCAGGAGGCUUCCUAAUUAAGAACCAUGAACUACAGUCCAUUAGUUCACAUUCACAUUGUCGGACUAGUUGUUAAAGACGGUUGACUUUGUUGUUCUUUCUAUAAAAAGUGUCUUAUCACUUGUGUUGAAAGUCUUUAUAUAUUGUUGAUAGGGCUUUUUCUUUCUUAAAAGUAUUAUUUGUAUUAUUGCUGCACCAAAGCUUCCGCUGAGAGACAAUGAAUUUGUGAAAUUGAAUUGAAUUCAAUACAGGUGUGUUUAAAAGUGUUCACCUACCAGGAAACUCACUGCAUGAAACAUGAAGUUCAAACUUAAGAGAGUUAAAAGAUUUUCUCGGGAUGAACUGAUGCAUCGUUAUCGGACGAUUUCGGCUCUGUUGACAGACAUCAGAACAUGGCAGUAGCCAACGCUCAUUUGUUGUGCUUAAUCAAUUUAAUGCUUACAUCUAGUACAUCUAUAUGCUGAUUCAGAGAGGAGUUGUUUUAUUUGGCAGAAGGAGUCACCUGUUGAACAAACUCUGACUUGUUUUCAUCGUCAAACAUGAGAGAAAAAGGUGGCAUUGUGGGAGUUUUAGUCAUGAAAAAAACAUCUGAAUUGGCAAUCAGCUAAAUUCUUAUUUCGAACAUCAGUAUCGGCAUCACCCCUGAUUUUCCCAGUGGAUGCUUCUCUUAAGAUUUUCUGUUCAUCAUCAAAGCUAAACGAACGUCUGCUACUGCAGUGGUUAGUAAAACCUGAUAACAGCAUUGUUUGAACCAAAGAUAAACAAUGAUUGUUACAAAAGCAUGGUCUCAUCAAAUCGCUCCUUUAAAGUUGAUUUAAUGUUUCAGAAAGACAAAUAUUGGAUGGGAGGGUUCGCCUUCACCUCUUUAUAUGCGGCUGAGACCAAUCAGUCAACGUUGCCCGGGCAGCUUCAGCUUGGUUAGUUUAAAACACAGGCUGUGGCAUGUCCUGCCAGCCAGAAUCCACACCCUCUAACACAUACAGUACAAAUAAAUGUGACGCUUGUUGUUGGUCAUGAAACCUUUCAUUCUGCUCCAGAGAAGACGCCAAGUUUCAUUUCACUUUGAGUUCACUCCCAGUUUAACAUUUUCUAUUUCAUCUCGGCUCACGCACAAGUUGACAUCAACUCCAACAACCUUACUGUAAAAAAAAAAAAAAAUGCUCCACUUGGACUCCCACUUGUGUUUAUUUUGUGUAUAUGAAUGUGUAUAUUUGUGUGAGAUCCAAACACUGCACAAGUAGGAGGCAGAACUCCUAGGAGACAUUUUUAUUGAAAACCAUUUGAAACAUUUAAAAGAUGUGGUGCAGAGCUGCUCCUCGUGUAUUAUAACAGCCUCAUGUGUUUCACUCUCACUCUGCUCUGUUUACAUCUCAGCGCCAACAUACAGCUCCUGUGAUUUUUCCAGAAUAACUUCUUCGCAGACGGAAUGAAAAUGUGUCGAACUGAUUUCCUCUCGUGUGGAAACUUUGUCUUCUUUUUUGUAAAUAUGUAUAAAGGUCUGCCUUCAAACGA